AGCGAUUUAGUUCAGUAGGUUAGAACUAUAGAAUCAUAAUCUAUGUGCCGUGAGUUCAAGUCUCACUAUCGCUA
rnacentral:tRNA from 1 species